rnacentral:rRNA from 1 species
GGGUUGUGAGGUUAAGCGACUAAGCGUACACGGUGGAUGCCCUGGCAGUCAGAGGCGAUGAAGGACGUGCUAAUCUGCGAUAAGCGUCGGUGAGGUGAUAUGAACCGUUAUAACCGGCGAUUUCCGAAUGGGGAAACCCAGUGUGUUUCGACACACUAUCAUUAACUGAAUCCAUAGGUUAAUGAGGCGAACCGGGGGAACUGAAACAUCUAAGUACCCCGAGGAAAAGAAAUCAACCGAGAUUCCCCCAGUAGCGGCGAGCGAACGGGGAGCAGCCCAGAGCCUGAAUCAGUGUGUGUGUUAGUGGAAGCGUCUGGAAAGGCGCGCGAUACAGGGUGACAGCCCCGUACACAAAAAUGCACAUACUGUGAGCUCGAUGAGUAGGGCGGGACACGUGGUAUCCUGUCUGAAUAUGGGGGGACCAUCCUCCAAGGCUAAAUACUCCUGACUGACCGAUAGUGAACCAGUACCGUGAGGGAAAGGCGAAAAGAACCCCGGCGAGGGGAGUGAAAAAGAACCUGAAACCGUGUACGUACAAGCAGUGGGAGCCUCUUAAUGGGGUGACUGCGUACCUUUUGUAUAAUGGGUCAGCGACUUAUAUUCUGUAGCAAGGUUAACCGAAUAGGGGAGCCGAAGGGAAACCGAGUCUUAACUGGGCGUUAAGUUGCAGGGUAUAGACCCGAAACCCGGUGAUCUAGCCAUGGGCAGGUUGAAGGUUGGGUAACACUAACUGGAGGACCGAACCGACUAAUGUUGAAAAAUUAGCGGAUGACUUGUGGCUGGGGGUGAAAGGCCAAUCAAACCGGGAGAUAGCUGGUUCUCCCCGAAAGCUAUUUAGGUAGCGCCUCGUGAAUUCAUCUCCGGGGGUAGAGCACUGUUUCGGCAAGGGGGUCAUCCCGACUUACCAACCCGAUGCAAACUGCGAAUACCGGAGAAUGUUAUCACGGGAGACACACGGCGGGUGCUAACGUCCGUCGUGAAGAGGGAAACAACCCAGACCGCCAGCUAAGGUCCCAAAGUCAUGGUUAAGUGGGAAACGAUGUGGGAAGGCCCAGACAGCCAGGAUGUUGGCUUAGAAGCAGCCAUCAUUUAAAGAAAGCGUAAUAGCUCACUGGUCGAGUCGGCCUGCGCGGAAGAUGUAACGGGGCUAAACCAUG